CUGUGUUGGGUGUUACGCUCAGCCAUUGUAAACAAUGUAAUGCUUAGUGCUUUCCAAAAAGCAAAAUUCUGCAGGUUUCAAAAUUUAUUCAAAAUUUAUCUGGCAUGUUACAAUAAACAAAAAUGAAUUAAAUGGAAAAUCUGAAAUAUAAAAAGAGGGUUCUAAAUAAAACCAGGGAUACAGCUGAACUCGUUCCUGGUAUAAAAAUUCUUUUAAUUAUAAGAAAAUUAAGAAAUUGUGAUAAGCUUUAAUUUUCAAAUUGGGUAAAAUACAAUUGACACCCUGUCUGUCCACAAAACAAUUGGAAUACCAUUCGAAAGAGCUCUGUAACUUGAGCUAUAUAACUUGACAUCCUUUUUACCCAGGCUUCGUGCAAAUAUUGAGGUAAACAUAUUUUCAUUUUGCAGCUUCACAGGUUUUCUGAAAUUUUGUGGAAGUUCUUUAGUUUUAUUGAAAUGGCUUACUCUAUUAUGGUUAGGCUAAUUUAUUCAUUUUUUUCCAUGUUGUGGACUUUUCCCCUAACUAUUCUGAGGCUAAUUUAUUCAUUUUUUUUUUCACGUUCUGAAUUUUUCCCCUAAUGAUUCCACAAAAAUUCUAGACUGGAAUUAACUAAAAAAAAGAUUCCUCUAUCGUAUCUGGAAGUUAUCAUAUCAAUAUUUACAUUGUAGCAGCUGAGAAGCUUGGAGAAAACGAGGCAAUCUGGAAACUACUAUGACUGGAGACUACCAAGACUGAGAAGACUGGAAAGACUAGAUGAAUUGCAUGGUAUUGAUUUUUCACAAAGGAUUUUUUCAUGGACAUUGACGGCAGGGUUAAUCUAGUCAUAUGCUUAACACAUUCGACUUUGAAUCAGAAAAUUUUGAAUAUGUAAAUCCAAUUCAGAAAAAUUGGUUGUUAUGCAUACUUUGUAGUUCUAUUAGAAACAAUAGAGAUAAAAAAAUUUAAUUUAUUGUGGUAA